UGAGCUUGAAAUUGCUUGGGUAGAUGCAGAAGUCGAAAAAGAAGAUGAGAAGCUUAUUUUGAAUCCCCCAUCGUCAACACCACCACUCCACAGGCCAAUUCUUGUGGGCGAUCUAAAAUUAGCUGAUUUUAAACAAUUCCUGGAAAAUGAAGGUUUUCAGGUUGAAUUUGCUGUUGGUGCUUUACAGUGCGGCGGAAACAUCACGUUGCGCAAGAUUGUUGGUUCUAGCCAAAAGGGCAGCACGGGGUCACAGCAUAUCGUGAUCCAGGGUGCCCUUUGCGAGGACUAUUACAAGAUCAGGAAGCUUCUUUAUUCCAAGUUCUACUUGCUGUGAAGUCAACGGGCGCUUCAUUUUCCGUAGUGCGUUGCUGCCGUACAAUGGUGCUGCACAACUGAUGAAUGUGAAUCUUCAUAGACCGACAAACUACUGCUGUGGGAACCGAGGAGCUAUUUCAGAUUUUUAGUUGGAUCAGCGCACGCAAGAAUGUGCCUGCCCAUGCCUGUACGGCUGGGCCUACCGUUAGAUUGUAGAUUUUUAGAACACCAGCUCCUGUGUAUAUGUAUAAUUGUAUAUGGUGAUAACCUGGUUAGUUGUAUAUUACCACGAACUUUCUGAUCUUGUUGUGUGACUGAUACAGGACUCACCGCACAUGGGUCUGGGCUAUGAACGUUUGCUGUUAUCAGGACAACAGAAAACCACAUCUCAAAUCAUAAAGAUCAGAAUUGGCAAUCCAUGUACUCUUCGCAAUAUCACAACCUGAUUACUUACAGCGACAUUUUUUUUAUUAACUGCCGUGAUUCACUUAAGCGAGCAACUGUAAUAAGCUCAUUGUCACCCUGACUAUCUGAAAUUGCUGUUU